rnacentral:lncRNA from 1 species
UGAGUAUCGGGUCUCACAACCUGGGAAGCCAUUGAUUCCGGUGAGUUUCAAGGCAGGAGAUGAUGAGAGGCGACUAGGGUUAGGAAAGGUUCGACAGAGUUUGAGAAAGGAGAGGGGUUUCAGAGGCGGUUGGUAGGUGAACGUGAUUUAGGUUUGGGGUAUUUGUAAAUUAAUAAAGGAAAGGGAAAAUUGUGGUCGUUGAUUAAAAUGAUCAAUGGCGUGGAUCAGAAGGGGUAUUGGCUAUUUGUUGUUUCAAAGGCAACAUUCUAAGGCAACAUGCAAUAACAUGUAUAGCAAAUUGGGAGAAAGCCCAUAACAGGAAAAAAGGCUCAGAUAUACCUCUUUUAAAAAAAGAAGCGCGUAAUUUAGCAUGACUUGCACAUAUUGUUUAGGGUCUGAUUUAAUACUAAACAGGAAAGAGCUUAAAGGUUGAGGCAGAAUUAUUUAUUACAUAAUUCAGAUAAGAAGGCCUAAUCAGGUGUACCCGGUGGUUGUAGUUAACAGAACAGAUUCACUUCAUAAUUUUACCCUAAGGCUUGCAUAAUUAAUGGACAAGGAUCCUAUAGGCAUGGUAUCUACUAAAUUUAGAAAGCAAGUAAAUAACAAGGUCUAAAUAAACUGAAUACGUACUGGUUAAAAAAGAUAGUCAGGUUAUUAAAAGGAAAGCUAGUUUUUAAUGAAGGUCAUAAGAUCUACAACUAACAGUGCCCAUUGUGACUUAUUUUAGAUCUAUACGUAAAUGAAGCGACAAAGAUUCAAUUAGAGUUUCUAUAGACAUUCUUUCUAUGCAUAGUUGACUUUUGAACCUCGUAAACAUGGUAUAAAAUAUUUAGACCUAUGAACAUGAUAUCUAGAUGCCUGAACAUUUUUUAAGACCUAUGAAUAUGAUAUCUAGGUGUUGAACUUUGUUUAAGACCAAUGAUAUCUAGGUGUAGUUGAAUGUUUAAGACCUAUGAACAUGAUAUCUAGGUGCUAAACUUUUUUUAAGACCUAUGAACAUGAUGUUUACGUGCAAAUGAAUGUGCAGACUUAAAAAAUCCUAUGGACAUGAUUUUUUUAUGAAUAUGGUAAUCCUAUGAUCAUGAUUUCUAUAUGAAUGAUGGAUGUACAAAAUUUAGAAGAGACUAUAAGCAUGAUUUUUAUAUGCAUCAACAUAUG